AUGGUUGGCUCCCAGCAGCUUAGAAGGAAUAGGAUCCAACACUUCCUGUAUGUUAAGGAUAUGCAUCUGGGCCCAUUAGAAUUCUCUCCUUGGGUUUGGAAGUGUGGAUUCUGUAUCUCUUUAAAAAACGUAAUAUUUGAUCUUGGGGACCCUGGGCAGCCGUUUUAUACUCAUGAACGGAGAGAGCGGCACCGCGCUAAGAAGGAGGUGGGAGAGUUGUAAUGAGCGUCUGGCGCUCUCUUCUCCCCUUCUAGCCCUCUGCUCCUGCACUUGGGCUUUGGGAUAAAGUCAUCCAUCUGCCCCUCUUUGUGACCAGAGCGAGUGAGUGGCUUUUUAAUGGAAAGACGACUUCAAGCAUCUCUGUAUCCAGACGCGGCUGCAAAAAGCAGGGCAAAGCAACAGACAAAAGGACAGAGGUGUAUACAAACGGUUGGGAAACUGGACCGUUCCUUUGUUCCUUUCUGGGAAGUUUACAGCAAGCAGAGCCCUGAGCGGAGACUAACCAAUGAUGAGCAUGAUAUGGCCACGGCCGGAAACGCCAGGAGCGCAUCUAUGUGAGUUUUGAGACGGGGUUUCUUGCACUCCAGGUCUAGCCUUGGAUUUGCUAUUGCAGCUAAGGCUGACCUUCUGUUUCUGAUCCUCCUGCUUGCUAAUGCCAACUGCUGUGACCUCAGGUGCUUUCACUGUGCCCUAGAAUCAGCUUUUAAGAGGUGAUGAGUCACACUUGGAAGUUUCACCUAGAGCCUGGUCCUCUCCGGCAGAUGAAACCUGGAAUCAGAUCCUUUCCCAGGACGCGAACUCUUGGUGGGAGCCAGAGAUCAUUUAUCUCUGAAAUACGACUCAGGGUGUUUUGAAGUGUGUAUAUCACCAUUGUUUUGCAUCGCAAAGACGGAAGGGAGGACUUUGAAAGUUGUUUCGAAAAUCAGCAUUUCCUUUCCCUCUUCUGACACAGAUAAUUUAUAUGCCACUUGUGGUGUGACUUACUCAGACACCAUUAUGUUUCAAACACAAAUAUUCUUGUAUUUUCAUUAUUACAAAAUAACUUGCUGCUUGUCAGAGCCAAGUUUUGGGGGGAGCCAGCCCUGUCUGCUUCCCAUGAAACACAUUUCUGCUCUGCCUUGUGCCAACAUUCUGUCUCCGUUGACAUGGAUUGGGGGACUCUUCAUUGUGGCUGAAGCAUAGCUUUUUGUGGGGAGGGGUCUGAGAUGAAUGUAACUCCGUUCUUGACUCCAUGUUGGAUGCCAGGACGCACGAGGAGAAUACCUCUUGGGCACACACGUGUAACAGGAGAUGAUUUUUAUGCCCAUUGGUGUUUCAGUUGACUGUAUGUCUGUGUGAAGGUGUCAGAUGCCCUGAAACUGGAGUUGCAGGCAGUUGUGAGCCACCAUGUGGGUACUGGGUAUUGAACCAGGGUCCUCUGGAAGAGCAGCCAGUGCCUUUAACCUCUGAGCCAUCUCUCCAGCCCCUGUCUUGUGGUGUUUUGUGCCUGCCUGUGAGGCAAGUGCCCUGCAAGUCAACUGUAUCCUUACUCCUACCUUGAACAUUGUCCAUGUGGCAAUUUUACUUAGGAAGAACAAGGUAGCUACAUAGUAUUCAUACUUAUUUAUCAGAUAUGUACAAAUUGUCUCCUUAGUGAAUACUAUUACAAAG
rnacentral:lncRNA from 1 species